rnacentral:rRNA from 1 species
GAUGGCCAGGCUGUCUCCACCCGAGACUCAGUGAAAUUGAACUCGCUGUGAAGAUGCAGUGUACCCGCGGCAAGACGGAAAGACCCCGUGAACCUUUACUAUAGCUUGACACUGAACAUUGAGCCUUGAUGUGUAGGAUAGGUGGGAGGCUUUGAAGUGUGGACGCCAGUCUGCAUGGAGCCGACCUUGAAAUACCACCCUUUAAUGUUUGAUGUUCUAACGUUGACCCGUAAUCCGGGUUGCGGACAGUGUCUGGUGGGUAGUUUGACUGGGGCGGUCUCCUCCUAAAGAGUAACGGAGGAGCACGAAGGUUGGCUAAUCCUGGUCGGACAUCAGGAGGUUAGUGCAAUGGCAUAAGCCAGCUUGACUGCGAGCGUGACGGCGCGAGCAGGUGCGAAAGCAGGUCAUAGUGAUCCGGUGGUUCUGAAUGGAAGGGCCAUCGCUCAACGGAUAAAAGGUACUCCGGGGAUAACAGGCUGAUACCGCCCAAGAGUUCAUAUCGACGGCGGUGUUUGGCACCUCGAUGUCGGCUCAUCACAUCCUGGGGCUGAAGUAGGUCCCAAGGGUAUGGCUGUUCGCCAUUUAAAGUGGUACGCGAGCUGGGUUUAGAACGUCGUGAGACAGUUCGGUCCCUAUCUGCCGUGGGCGCUGGAGAACUGAGGGGGG